GUCUCUAAAAAUUUAAACCCCAAAAACUUCCUCUCAUCUCGCACCUCACCUCUCCUCUCCACCAUCUGCUUGCCGCCUGCUCAACCUUACAUGGUUCCAGCCCUAAUCGACGAAACCUAAACCCUAAUCAAAUAUCACGGUCCCUAAACACAUUUGAAGAGGUGAUCAGAACCCCUAACCUUCUUUAUGUGUAUCUUGUCGGAUUGUGUGUAUAUCUAGUUUUAUAUUUGUACUAUAUAUAUGUGUAUUCAAGAUUAUUGGGGAUUUGAAAUCUUUGAAAGCAUAAUAGUGUUUGAAAUUGGUUAGUUAUUAUCCAGAUAUUAUUAUGUUGUAGAGACCUUAUAGAAGGUGCGAGGGCAUCCACGGGUAUCAUCGUUCUCGAUCUUUAUCUCGACCUCGAAUUCAGCCCCUUAGCCCCUUUUCUCUCCGUAAAUCUUCCCUUUUUUGACCUAGAUUCGUCAUUGAUUUUUGUGGAUUUUUUUUGGGAAUUUAUUGUUUUUGUGAUUGAGUUAUGAAACAGUGGUUUUGUAUGAAUUGUGAUGUUUUUUUGCCAGUUUUAAAAGAUCCCAUGUGACAUGCCUGGUCUAUUGGUCCUAGUCUAUUCAAGAAAAUAUUCUAAAUCCCACAGGUGCCGGUAGUUCUAGUAUUUCAACAUGUUUUCUAGCAAGUCAUGUUUAGUUGUCUUGUUUUAAUAGUAGUAUACUUGAUCUUGUCUUACAAUCUACUUUUAUGUCAAUGUAAAGAUUUGUUUCCAGUUACAUUAAGGAACCAUUUGCUAUCUAAUGCAGGGAGACCCAGCCGGUGCAACAAAAUUUGGAUUAAAACAAAAAGCACCACCGCCAUCAUCACCAAGCGUUGCAGGUUUUGUCCACGAGAAAGAUAUCACCGUUGUGUUUUCAAUCUUUUGUAGAUCUUGCUAGUGAGAUUAACUUAAGGUUAAAACAUUUACAUACAUACUAUAAUAGUUUACUAGUCAGCUAGUUUUCCUUUUGAGAUAUAAACAUCUAUUUUUAAUUAUUAGUUUCUUUGUUGUGUCAUAUAACAAGAGGGAUUAAGAAUAUCCGACCCUUUAUCACAUUCUAGAUUUUAUCCUCUAAUUAAUGUUAGUGCUAAAGCUGAAAACGCGUUGAUGAUAAGUGCAACGCUUUGUGCUCAAGGUGCGCUUGACCCGAAGAAGGUUAAUCGGAAGAUUUUGUUGUGCUUAAGGUGAGGCAAUAUGGGUCGGCUUGACAAGGGCAUAGUGGCUCCACGUGCGGGUGCUUCUGGCAUGAUUCUUUGCAAUGCUGAAGAAGCCAAUAAAGAUGAAAUAAUAGCUGAUCUUCAUGUGCUGCCAGCGACACACAUCACUAUGCUGACGAGCUUUGUCUCUACGCUUACCUUAACUCUACCAUGUAACUACCGUCAUUCCAAAAUGGGCUGGCCCGACCCGGCCCAUAUUUCCACUUCUAUUUAUCAGUAUUUGUUGAUCAACUACUUCCUUGGAUACACUAAUUAAUAUACAACCAAUUGUUAAACUAAAAUCUCACACAUGGGAAGACAUCACAUAUUCCAAGUCAUAACAAAUUUAUAGAUCUCUUAAUCCA